rnacentral:rRNA from 1 species
AGUCGCCACGGGAAUACAGAGGGUGCGAGCGUUAAUCGGAUUUACUGGGCGUAAAGCGUGCGUAGGCGGCUAAUUGAGUCGGAUGUGAAAUCCCCGAGCUUAACUUGGGAAUUGCAUUCGAUACUGGUUAGCUAGAGUGUGGGAGAGGAUGGUAGAAUUCCAGGUGUAGCGGUGAAAUGCGUAGAGAUCUGGAGGAAUACCGAUGGCGAAGGCAGCCAUCUGGCCUAACACUGACGCUGAGGUACGAAAGCAUGGGGAGCAAACAGGAUUAGAUACCCCCGUAGUCCCUGUCUCUUAUACA